rnacentral:ncRNA from 1 species
AGAGUUUGCCGUAGAGCGCGGCAAACAAAAAAUAAAAAAAGCUCAAUUGA